rnacentral:rRNA from 1 species
AUACGGAGGUUGCAAGCGUUAAUCGGAAUUACUGGGCGUAAAGGGCGCGUAGGCGGUCUAUCAAGUCAGGAGUGAAAUCCCACGGCUCAACCGUGGAGGUGCAACUGAAACUGAUAGACUUGAGUAUGGGAGAGGAAAGUGGAAUUCCCGGUGUAGAGGUGAAAUUCGUAGAUAUCGGGAGGAACACCAGUGGCGAAGGCGACUUUCUGGACCAAUACUGACGCUGAGGCGCGAAAGCGUGGGGAGCAAACAGGAUUAGAUACCCUAGUAGUCC